GCCGGGCACAGUGGUGCUUGCCUGUAAUCACAGCAGUUUGGGGGGCUGAGGCAGGAGGAUCGAAAGUUCAAGGCCAGCCUCAGCAACUGAGUGAGGCCCUGAGCAACUCAGCGAGACCCUGUCUCUA
rnacentral:sRNA from 1 species